rnacentral:rRNA from 1 species
UAGGGAAUAUUAGAAAUGGACGAAAGUCUGAUCUAGCAACACCGCGUGUGCGAAGAAGGCCUUCGGGUCGUAAAGCACUUUUUGGAAGGAAUAGGAAGGAAUGUACUUCCAGAAUAAGUCUCGGCUAACUACGUGCCAGCAGCCGCGGUAACACGUAGGAGGCAAACGUUAUCCGGAUUUACUGGGCGUAAAGCGCGUGUAGGUGGUUCUGUAAGUAGGGCGUGAAAGCUCCUGGCUCAACUGGGAGAGGCCGUUCUAAACUGCAGAGCUAGAGGAUGGUAGGGGGAUGUUGAAUUCCUGGUGUAGCGGUGGAAUGCGCAGAUAUCCGGAGGGACACCAGUGGCGAAAGCGGCCUCCUGGACCAUUCCUGACACUCAGACGCGAAAGCUAGGGUAGCAAACG